GCCCUUAAAGGAAGAUUAAUACCGCAUAAUAUUGUAGCUUCGCAUGAAGCAGCAAUUAAAGGAGCAAUCCGCUAUGAGAUGGGCCCGCGGCGCAUUAGCUAGUUGGUGAGGUAACGGCUCACCAAGGCGACGAUGCGUAGCCGACCUGAGAGGGUGAUCGGCCACAUUGGGACUGAGACACGGCCCAGACUCCUACGGNAGGCAGCAGUGGGGAAUAUUGCACAAUGGGGGAAACCCUGAUGCAGCAACGCCGCGUGAGUGAUGACGGUCUUCGGAUUGUAAAGCUCUGUCUUCAGGGACGAUAAUGACGGUACCUGAGGAGGAAGCCACGGCUAACUACGUGCCAGCAGCCGCGGUAAUACGUAGGUGGCGAGCGUUGUCCGGAUUUACUGGGCGUAAAGGGAGCGUAGGCGGACUUUUAAGUGAGAUGUGAAAUACCCGGGCUCAACUUGGGUGCUGCAUUUCAAACUGGAAGUCUAGAGUGCAGGAGAGGAGAGUGGAAUUCCUAGUGUAGCGGUGAAAUGCGUAGAGAUUAGGAAGAACACCAGUGGCGAAGGCGACUCUCUGGACUGUAACUGACGCUGAGGCUCGAAAGCGUGGGGAGCAAACAGGAUUAGAUACCCUGGUAGUCCACGCCGUAAACGAUGGAUACUAGGUGUGGGGGUUGUCAUGACCUCCGUGCCGCCGCUA
rnacentral:rRNA from 1 species